AAAAAGCUCGUAGUUGGAUUUCGGAACCGGCCGAUUGGUCCGUCCUUUGGAUCGUGUACUGAUCGGUCUGUUCUUCUUCGCGAAGACCGCGUGUGCCCUUAACUGGGUGGGCGCGGGAUUCGCGACGUUUACUUUGAAAAAAUUAGAGUGUUCAAAGCAGGCAGUCGCUUGAAUAUCUCAGCAUGGAAUAAUAGAAUAGGACUUUGGUCUAUUUUGUUGGUUUCCGAGACCGAAGUAAUGAUUAAUAGGGACAGUUGGGGGCAUUCGUAUUUCAUUGUCAGAGGUGAAAUUCUUGGAUUUAUGAAAGACGAACUUCUGCGAAAGCAUUUGCCAAGGAUGUUUUCAUUAAUCAAGAACGAAAGUUAGAGGUUCGAAGGCGAUUAGAUACCGCCCUAGUUCUAACCAUAAACGAUGCCAGCUAGCGAUCUGCCUGCGUUUUUACUGUAGACUGGGCAGGAAGCUUCCGGGAAACCAAAGCAUUUGGGUUCCAGGGGAAGUAUGGUUGCAAAGCUGAAACUUAAAGGAAUUGACGGAAGGGCACCACCAGGAGUGGAGCCUGUGGCUUAAUUUGACUCAACACGGGAAAUCUCCA
rnacentral:rRNA from 1 species